rnacentral:rRNA from 1 species
AGAACGAACGCUGGCGGCAGGCUUAACACAUGCAAGUCGAACGCGUGUAGCAAUACACGAGUGGCGCACGGGUGAGUAACGCGUGGAUAUCUGCCUUUUGGUUCGGAAUAACCCCGGGAAACUGGGGCUAAUACCGGAUGGUUCCUACGGGAUAAAGAUUUAUCGCCAAAAGAUGAGUCCGCGUCCGAUUAGCUAGUUGGUAGGGUAAUGGCCUACCAAGGCGACGAUCGGUAGCUGGUCUGAGAGGACGAUCAGCCACACUGGGACUGAGACACGGCCCAGACUCCUACGGGAGGCAGCAGUGGGGAAUAUUGGACAAUGGGGGCAACCCUGAUCCAGCCAUGCCGCGUGAGUGAUGAAGGCCUUCGGGUUGUAAAGCUCUUUUGGCGGGGACGAUGAUGACGGUACCCGCAGAAUAAGCCCCGGCUAACUUCGCGCCAGCAGCCGC